GAUGAAAUGAAUAUCAAGUUACUCAACAAUCUCAUUAUAGAGGCUGGCGCCCGUUUUGACCCUUUUGACCAAUCCUUGGAAUUUGGAGCCGCUCCAAUAAACAACACCGUAUCGCCCACAACCAUUGGAAUAGCGAGACAAAUUGGUCAUUCGCUGUAGCUGAAUCUUUUGCCCAGAACAAAUCGAAAGCCCGUUGAAGAUCAGAGAGGUGGCCAAUCCCCUUCGAAGUAGUGCAAGGGUGAUUUGAUUUCCCUUUGGUCCCCAAAUGCCCUCUCAUCUUCAAGUGAUCCACUCAAUUUGACCAGACGAAGCAGAGGCAAUCUUCUCUGAUUCCUUGGAUAGGGGAUCCACACUGUACCGUAGAUACGAAUGUUAUACGAAGAUGGGUAAGCUAGAGGCGGGAUGGACGAUGGGUCUUUUCGGUCAAGCGAGAGCAGAACUCAAUAUCGGCUUGAUAAAGUGCUCGAAACAAAGCCAUCUGCCUCGUCUCGAGAUCCCUCCUAUCCAUACUAGUUGAGGGAACUGGGAGCGGAGAUCCCAAACUCCACUUGAGGGCAAAAGGAUGAUCUAAAAGGCUUCGAAAAGAAGGGUUCACUCCGCUUCGGUCCCAAGAUGAGGAAGACUUCCGUGAAGACCAAUAUUGUAUCUGAUGAUGAUACUUCAGGCUCCAAGCCAAUCUCAGGCGAUCUUGGAGUGACUACUGCUCUCCGUACGUAUACUGCCAACUUCCAACUAGGCGAGCUUCCAUCUCGGAGAGGGAUCUCUCGAUUUUUGGCCAUAUAAUACGCCUCAAGCAUCUCGGUAUCACCAUGAACUAACAUUGGACAACUUCUCUUAUGAAGGCAUCGCCUUGGUAGAGACUCAUUCUUCCAAGUUUCGAGAACCAGAAGUGUCGACGCCCAAUUUGAAUAGGAAUCCAUGUCAUUCAAUGUUCCCAAUCAUUCGGCCAGAUGGUUAGAUGGUUGCAAUCUGUUUAGGCUUUGCCCUUCCAAGACUGGAAAGUUUUGACCAGAAAAUCCCACCAACGUCUUGGGCGGCGUCCCAGCAAAAGCAAGGAGAAGGCCAGAGCUAACGGAACCGUGCCGGGAAAUCAAAGUAUCGUGAA